AUCCAGCUGACGAGUCCCAAAUAGGACGAACGCACUUCCUAGAU
rnacentral:hammerhead_ribozyme from 11 species